rnacentral:pre_miRNA from 1 species
CAGGGCUGCAGGCUCAGAAGGCAGCGUCCGGGCAUCUCCGCCAUGGCCUGGGCUCUGUUCCUUCUUCCCUUCAUCACUCAGGGCUCAGGUGA